AUUGAACGCUGGCGGCAGGCCUAACACAUGCAAGUCGAGCGGUGCGGGCGACGGGCGAGCGAUGCCUAGGUACCUGCCUGGUUGCGCGGGAUAACGUCAGGAAACGGGCGCUAAGAUAGUAUACCAUUUGAUGAGCCGAGGUGCGAAUAGCUGGUUGGUGGGGUAAUGGCCUACCAAGGCGACGACCCGUAACUGGUCUGAGAGGAUGAUCAGUCACACUGGAACUGAGACACGGUCCAGACUCCUACGGGAGGCAGCAGUGGGGAAUAUUGGACAAUGGGCGAAAUCCUGAUCCAGCCAUGCCGCGUGGGUGAAGAAGGUCUUCGGAUUGUAAAGCACUUUAAGUUAGGAGGCGUUACCAACAGAAUAAGCACCGGCUAACUUCGUGCCAGCAGCCGCGGUAAUUC
rnacentral:rRNA from 1 species